AUACAAGCCAAAUGACAAGAAAAAAACUUAAUUAAAAGCUUAAACUAGGCCCUAUAAGUCAAUUUUCUGGGGUGUUCUUCUCUUAAACUAGGCCAUAUAAGUCAAUUUUCUGGGGUGUUCUUCUUCUCUUGAGAAGCCACGGCAGCAGUACCUCCGGAGCUUCCGGAAUUUCCAGAAUCACCCGGGCUUUCAGAACUCCCGGUCGCUGGUGUUCCAGGGGUUGCUGGUGAUUCAUCCCCCAUUGUGUUUUUUUUGGUGGGUUUCUGAUCACAUCUUGGCCUUUUGUUAGUGUGGGCAUUAAGUUUGUCAAUAGACUCGAACUUAUCCCCACACCUGCUGCAAGUAUACUCCACCAUUUGAGGGGAAGGGAGUACGUCUGCAGCCGAAGAGAGGAGGGGAGGAACGAGGCUUCUUAUCCCUCCUGGGCCUGGGAGCUUAUGUAUCCUGCUUGUCUUGAGGUCCAGACGCAUGUAAAUCCCACAUUAGAUGGGUUCCAGGAAGUUUGGAGAUAUGAUGAUCAUUACGGCAGAAUGUUAUUAUUAUUAUUAUUUUAUUUUUUAUUUUUUAUUUUUUGGCGGCUGCUGAUGAUAUUAUGACAAUUAUGUUGUGAUCUAUCUCCGCCUGGUUUGUUCUGCUGAAAAUAGGUGCCUCCAACAACAUAAUUGUGCAUUAGGAUGAAAACUUGUUUUGGCUUCUGUUCUUAUGAUAGAUUUGUUGGAGAUUGAAGGUGAUCAGAGUAUCUACAUUGCAGAUUAAUGCAGAUUUGUCUGGAGGUCCCAAACAGUUAGAAUACCACAGCUCUGUUUCAGAGAUGGAUGGAGCUUGACUCAUGCUUUUCUCUUCUCUUUUCCAGAGUGUUCAGCAUGCAAUAUAUGUGGAAGAACGCAUUUUCAUCUUAUGCAGCUUUGUUUUGUUGCUUAGAAGCUAGAUGUGAAGUGCAAUGCCAUCUUAUUGUCUGUUUUUUUAUGGCACAAUUGUCAAAAGAUGCUAGUCUAUGUAUGUUAUUUCUAAGUCUAUGAAAAUUCAUUCUCCGUU